CCUACGGGAGGCAGCAGUAGGGAAUCUUCCGCAAUGGGCGAAAGCCUGACGGAGCAACGCCGCGUGGGUGAUGAAGGUCUUCGGAUCGUAAAACUCUGUUGUUAGAGAAGAACAUGCGUGUAAGUAACUGUUCACGUUUCGACGGUACCUAACCAGAAAGCCACGGCUAACUACGUGCCAGCAGCCGCGGUAAUACGUAGGUGGCAAGCGUUAUCCGGAUUUAUUGGGCGUAAAGGGAGCGUAGGCGGUCUUUUAAGUCUGAUGUGAAAGCCUUCGGCUUAACCGGAGUAGGGCAUUGGAAACUUGGAGACUUGAGUGCAGAAGAGGAGAGUGGAAUUCCAUGUGUAGCGGUGAAAUGCGCAGAGAUAUGGAGGAACACCAGUGGCGAAAGCGGCUUUCUGGUCUGUAACUGACGCUGAGGUGCGAAAGCGUGGGUAGCAAACAGGAUUAGAUACCCUAGUAGUC
rnacentral:rRNA from 1 species